CACGUAGGGCGCAAGCGUUGUCCGGAAUUAUUGGGCGUAAAGAGCUCGUAGGUGGUCCGCUGCGUCCGCUGUGAAAACCCAGGGCUUAACCCUGGGCUUGCAGUGGAUACGGGCAGACUAGAGGUAGGUAGGGGAGAAUGGAAUUCCCGGUGUAGCGGUGAAAUGCGCAGAUAUCGGGAGGAACACCGGUGGCGAAGGCGGUUCUCUGGGCCUUACCUGACACUGAGGAGCGAAAGCUAGGGGAGCAAACGGG
rnacentral:rRNA from 1 species